UUCUUCCUAGCAUCUUAUUUGAAUCUAAAUCUCUUCAAUCAGUGAAGAUGUCUUGCUGCGGAGGAAACUGUGGCUGCGGAUCCGGUUGCAAGUGCGGCUCUGGCUGUGGAGGAUGCAAGAUGUACCCAGGCAUGACGGAAACGAGCUUUGUGGAGAAAUC